AGUGAACGCUGGCGGUAGGCCUAACACAUGCAAGUCGAACGGCAGCACAGUAAGAGCUUGCUCUUACGGGUGGCGAGUGGCGGACGGGUGAGGAAUACAUCGGAAUCUACUUUUUCGUGGGGGAUAACGUAGGGAAACUUACGCUAAUACCGCAUACGACCUACGGGUGAAAGCAGGGGAUCUUCGGACCUUGCGCGAUUGAAUGAGACGAUGUCGGAUUAGCUAGUUGGCGGGGUAAAGGCCCACCAAGGCGACGAUCCGUAGCUGGUCUGAGAGGAUGAUCAGCAACACUGGAACUGAGACACGGUCCAGACUCCUACGGGAGGCAGCAGUGGGGAAUAUUGGACAAUGGGCGCAAGCCUGAUCCAGCCAUACCGCGUGGGUGAAGAAGGCCUUCGGGUUGUAAAGCCCUUUUGUUGUGAAAGAAAAGCAGCAGGUUAAUACCCCGCUGUUCUGACGGUACCCAAAGAAUAAGCACCGGCUAACUUCGUG
rnacentral:rRNA from 1 species